CCUCAAAUCAGGCGGGACUACCCGCUGAACUUAAGCAUAUCAAUAAGCGGAGGAAAAGAAACUAACAAGGAUUCCCCUAGUAACUGCGAGUGAAGCGGGAAAAGCUCAAAUUUAAAAUCUGGCAGUCUUUGGCUGUCCGAGUUGUAGUCUGGAGAAGCGUCUUCCGCGCUGGACCGUGUACAAGUCUCCUGGAACGGAGCGUCAUAGAGGGUGAGAAUCCCGUCUUUGACACGGACUACCAGUGCUUUGUGAUGCGCUCUCAAAGAGUCGAGUUGUUUGGGAAUGCAGCUCAAAAUGGGUGGUAAACUCCAUCUAAAGCUAAAUAUUGGCGAGAGACCGAUAGCGAACAAGUACCGUGAGGGAAAGAUGAAAAGCACUUUGGAAAGAGAGUUAAACAGUACGUGAAAUUGCUGAAAGGGAAACGCUUGAAGUCAGUCGCGUCCGCUAGAACUCAGCCUGGCUUUUGCUUGGUGCAUUUUCUAGUGGACGGGCCAGCAUCACUUUUGGCUGCGGGAUAAAGGUCGCAGGAAUGUGGCACCUUCGGGUGUGUUAUAGCCUCGAUUGUAUACCGUGGCUGGGAGUGGAGCACGCGACCAGCCUCUGUAGCGGGGGUUCGUG
rnacentral:rRNA from 1 species